UGAGCAAAAGUGCGUGGAGGAGAUGAAGGUGAGGAAAGGCCUUUAUAUAGGAGAGGGUUAGUGGGAGUUGAGGAUUGCCAAGGAGGAAAAUGAGAGGGGAGGGGAGAGAGAAGAGAUGGAUAAAGUCAGGGAGUGCUAUACCUAUAGUAGAAAAUGAGGGGAAGGAGGAAAUGGGGGAUGUUUGGGUCCAGACCUCCCAGCCUGUUUCGCCUUGCAAGAAUGUGAAGAUUUAAUAGGAGGUGAGUGCGUGGCCUCUGAUAAAACAGAUGUUGGUAAUAUGGAACCAUGCUCACAAAGAAAACUACAUUGGAUUGCAGAAUUCCAGGAAUAUGUUAUCUUUUGAAAAAAAUUAAAGCUAAUAAAUAAAAGAAUGAAACUGUUUUUAAGAUCAA